AAUGGAGGCAACUCUGAUCCAGCCAUGCCGCGUGAAGGAAGACUGCCUAUGGGUUGUAAACUUCUUUUAUAGAGGAAGAACACAGAUACGUGUAUUUGUUUGACGGUACUCUACGAAUAAGGAUCGGCUAACUCCGUGCCAGCAGCCGCGGUAAUACGGAGGAUCCAAGCGUUAUCCGGAUUUAUUGGGUUUAAAGGGUCCGUAGGCGGGAAAUUAAGUCAGUGGUGAAAUCCUACAGCUCAACUGUAGAACUGCCAUUGAUACUGGUUUUCUUGAGUGUAGUUGAGGUGGGCGGAAUAUGUCAUGUAGCGGUGAAAUGCAUAGAUAUGACAUAGAACACCUAUUGCGAAGGCAGCUCACUAAGCUACUACUGACGCUGAUGGACGAAAGCGUGGGGAGCGAACAGGAUU
rnacentral:rRNA from 1 species